GGACCCGCACAAGUAGUGGAGCAUGUGGUUUAAUUCGAAGAUACGCGCAGAACCUUACCAACACUUGACAUGUUCGUCGCGACUUUAAGAGAUUAGAGUUUUCGGUUCGGCCGGACGAAACACAGGUGCUGCAUGGCUGUCGUCAGCUCGUGUCGUGAGAUGUUGGGUUAAGUCCCGCAACGAGCGCAACCCUCACUUUUAGUUGCCAUCAUUAAGUUGGGCAUUCUGAAAGAACUGCCAGUGAUAAGCUGGAGGAAGGUGGGGAUGACGUCAAGUCCUCAUGGCCCUUACGUGUUGGGCUACACACGUGCUACAAUGGUAUCUACAACAGGAAGCAAAACUGCGAGGUUAAGCAAAUCCUUAAAAGUCGUCUCAGUUCGGAUUGUCCUCUGCAACUCGAGGGCAUG
rnacentral:rRNA from 1 species